rnacentral:rRNA from 1 species
GACGAACGCUGGCGGCGUGCCUAAUACAUGCAAGUAGAACGCAGUUGCGACCGGGCGAGUAACGCGUAGGUAACUGCCUGGUAGCGGGGGAUAACUAUUGGCAAAGAUAGCUACUACCGCAUACUACUAGAUGGACCUGCGUUGUAUUAGCUAGUUGGUGGGGUAACGGCGCACAAAGGCAACGAUACAUAGCCGACCUGAGAGGGUGAUCGGCCAAACUGGGACUGAGACACGGCCCAGACUCCGUCGGUAGGCCGCAGUAGGGGAUCUUCGGCAAUGGACGGAAGUCGGACCGCGCAACUCCGCGGGAGUGAAGAAGGUUUUCGGAUCGUAAAGCUCUGUUGUAAGAGAAGCGGUAUCUUACCAGAAAGGAACGGCUAACUACGUGCCAGCAGCCGCGGUAAUUC